CCUACGGGAGACAGCAGUGGGGAAUAUUGCUCAAUGGGCGAAAGCCUGACGCAGCGACGCAGCGUGAGGGAUGAAGGUCUUCGGAUCGUAAACCUCUGUCAGCAGGGAAGAACGGUCACUGUGCUAAUCAUCCGUGAAUUUACGGUACCUGCACAGGAAGCACCGGCUAACUCCGUGCCAGCAGCCGCGGUAAUACGGAGGGUGCGAGCGUUAAUCGGAAUUACUGGGCGUAAAGCGCUCGUAGGCGGUAUGUCAAGUCAGGUGUGAAAUCCCCGCGCUCAACGUGGGAACUGCCUUUGAAACUGGCAAACUGGAGUGUGGGAGAGGAUAGUGGAAUUCCAGGUGUAGGAGUGAAAUCCGUAGAUAUCUGGAGGAACAUCAGUGGCGAAGGCGACUAUCUGGCACAUAACUGACGCUGAGGAGCGAAAGCGUGGGUAGCAAACAGGAUUAGAUACCCUUGUAGUC
rnacentral:rRNA from 1 species